CGAGCUACGUCACCGUGAUCCGGGAUCCUGCUGGAAAGUGGGGGUGGAGCUAGAUGACGCUUCUUCCAACCAAUCAGACUCGUCCACAUGCCGCGACCGUGUGCCUGGGGCAGCCUUGGAAUAAAAUGCUAUAGCGGCUAAGUGCUGCCGCCACUAGAAGCCAGAGCGCAGCGGGAAGGGAAAGGCUGGGCGACGGCUCACUGGGACAAGAGGGAGGCCGCAGCCCGCAAACGAAGCAGGGGACAGCUAGUUAAUUGAGGAAGGAAGGUUAUUGGGGCGGGAAGUGAUAUAUUAUACUGAAGGGGUAAAGGAUAGACGGUACGAGGAUUCUCGGGUCUAGUCAGCGUCAGAAAGCCGGCUUCUCUCAUUGAACCUUUCCGUUUGCGGGUUUACCGACACCUAGCGGCUCACAGGCUGUGAGUACACACUGUCGCUUUGCCAGAGAAGCAUCCCUCUUCGCCCGUCACACGGAGCUGGACCGAUUUGCUCUGUCACCUCCCUUCCCAUACCGGUGAGGUGCCCCCGCUCCCGGCACAAAGACUUUGGUGGCCUCGAACAUUCUGUGCAAGGUGGGGGGGAUAGAGAGGGGGGUGAGGAGGCCAGGGAAGCAGUCAUGGAGAACGCACACACCAAGACGGUGGAGGAAGUCCUGGCUCAUUUCAACGUAAACGAGAGCACUGGCUUGAGUCUGGAGCAGGUCAAAAAACAAAAGGAGAGAUGGGGAGCGAACGAAUUGCCAGCAGAAGAAGGAAAAACAUUAUGGGAGUUGGUGAUCGAACAAUUUGAAGAUUUAUUAGUUAGAAUUUUACUACUUGCUGCCUGUAUAUCCUUUGUUUUGGCAUGGUUUGAAGAAGGCGAAGAAACCAUUACAGCCUUUGUAGAACCUUUUGUAAUUUUACUUAUAUUAGUAGCAAAUGCCAUUGUUGGCGUAUGGCAGGAAAGAAAUGCGGAAAAUGCUAUUGAAGCCCUCAAAGAGUAUGAACCUGAAAUGGGUAAAGUGUACAGACAGGACAGAAAAAGUGUCCAGCGAAUUAAGGCCCGAGAUAUUGUACCUGGAGACAUUGUUGAAGUGGCUGUUGGUGACAAGGUACCUGCUGACAUAAGGCUAACUUCAAUCAAGUCAACAACUCUACGAGUAGACCAGUCUAUCCUUACAGGAGAGUCAGUGUCUGUUAUCAAGCACACUGACCCUGUUCCUGAUCCCCGUGCAGUCAAUCAGGACAAGAAGAACAUGCUGUUUUCUGGUACUAACAUUGCUGCUGGUAAAGCUAUUGGAGUAGUUGUAGCAACAGGUGUAAACACUGAAAUUGGAAAGAUUAGAGAUGAGAUGGUUGCUACUGAGCAGGAGAGAACUCCCUUACAGCAGAAACUGGAUGAAUUUGGUGAACAGCUUUCCAAAGUUAUAUCUCUUAUUUGUAUUGCUGUUUGGAUCAUCAAUAUUGGACACUUCAAUGACCCCGUCCAUGGGGGAUCUUGGAUUCGGGGAGCUAUUUACUAUUUCAAAAUUGCAGUUGCCCUUGCUGUUGCUGCCAUACCUGAAGGUUUACCAGCUGUCAUAACUACCUGUUUGGCUCUUGGAACAAGGAGAAUGGCAAAAAAGAAUGCAAUUGUUCGAAGUCUGCCAUCUGUGGAAACUCUUGGUUGUACAUCGGUUAUCUGCUCCGACAAAACUGGCACCCUAACAACAAACCAGAUGUCAGUCUGCAGGAUGUUUAUUGUAGAUAAAGUGGAAGGAGAUAAUUGCUUUUUGAAUGAAUUUAACAUUACUGGGUCCACUUAUGCACCCAUGGGAGAAGUGUUGAAAGAUGACAAGCUGGUGAAAUGCCACCAAUAUGAUGGUCUUGUAGAACUUGCAACAAUCUGUGCACUUUGCAAUGAUUCAUCUUUGGAUUUUAAUGAGGCUAAGGGAGUCUAUGAAAAGGUUGGAGAAGCUACAGAGACUGCGCUCACAUGCCUGGUUGAGAAGAUGAAUGUCUUUGACACUGAUCUUAAAGGGCUUUCGAGAAUAGAACGCGCAAAUGCUUGCAACUCGGUCAUAAAGCAACUGAUGAAGAAGGAAUUUACUUUGGAGUUCUCAAGAGACAGAAAGUCCAUGUCUGUAUACUGUACACCAAAUAAGCCAAGUCGCACAUCCAUGAGCAAAAUGUUUGUAAAGGGGGCCCCUGAAGGUUUGAUUGACAGAUGUACCCACAUCCGGGUUGGAAGUAUAAAAGUUCCACUGACAGCUGGAAUUAAGCAGAAAAUCAUGAGCGUCAUUCGAGAGUGGGGAACUGGCAGGGACACACUUCGCUGUUUGGCCCUAGCAACCCAUGAUAAUCCACCAAGAAAAGAAGACAUGAACCUAGAGGAUUCUACCAAUUUUAUUAAUUAUGAGACUAAUUUGACAUUUGUUGGCUGUGUUGGAAUGCUGGACCCACCAAGAACAGAAGUGGCUGCCUCUGUAAAAAUGUGCAGACAGGCUGGCAUUAGAGUUAUCAUGAUUACAGGCGAUAACAAGGGAACUGCUGUUGCAAUUUGCCGUCGCGUUGGUAUCUUCCGUGAAGAUGAGGAUGUUUCUGAGAGAGCUUUCACUGGACGUGAAUUUGAUGAACUGUCCCCUGCUGCACAGAGGGACGCUUGUUUGAAUGCACGCUGUUUUGCUCGUGUAGAACCUUCACAUAAGUCAAAAAUUGUAGAGUUCCUGCAGUCUUUUGAUGAGAUUACCGCCAUGACUGGUGAUGGUGUAAACGAUGCACCUGCGCUUAAGAAAGCAGAAAUUGGAAUAGCCAUGGGAUCUGGCACUGCAGUAGCUAAAACUGCAUCUGAGAUGGUGCUUGCCGAUGACAACUUUUCAACCAUUGUGGCUGCAGUAGAGGAAGGACGUGCCAUCUAUAACAACAUGAAGCAGUUUAUUCGAUACCUUAUUUCCUCUAAUGUGGGAGAAGUGGUUUGCAUUUUUCUAACAGCCGCUCUUGGAUUCCCUGAAGCUUUAAUACCUGUUCAGCUUCUGUGGGUCAAUUUGGUCACUGAUGGCCUUCCUGCUACCGCAUUGGGUUUUAACCCCCCAGACUUGGACAUAAUGAACAAGCCACCCCGCAAUCCAAAGGAGCCACUUAUCAGUGGCUGGCUUUUCUUUCGCUAUCUUGCCAUUGGAUGCUAUGUUGGAGCUGCUACAGUUGGCGCAGCUGCAUGGUGGUUUAUUGCUGCUGAAGAUGGGCCAAGAAUUACCUUCUAUCAAUUGAGCCAUUUCCUGCAAUGCAGAGAAGAAAAUCCAGAUUUUGACGGCGUGGAGUGUGAAAUUUUUGAGUCCCCUUAUCCAAUGACCAUGGCUCUUUCAGUUCUUGUGACCAUAGAAAUGUGUAAUGCAUUAAACAGCCUUUCUGAAAACCAGUCAUUGCUGAGAAUGCCUCCGUGGGAGAAUGUGUGGCUUCUGGGUUCAAUCUGCUUAUCCAUGUCUCUUCAUUUCCUCAUUCUUUAUGUAGAACCACUACCGCUUAUCUUCCAGAUUACUCCACUCAACUUGAUACAGUGGCUGAUGGUGCUGAAAAUUUCACUACCAGUUAUACUUUUGGAUGAGACUCUUAAAUAUGUUGCUCGUAACUACCUGGAACCUGGUAAAGAGUGUGAAAAGCCUGCAGCCAAACCAUGUUCUUUUUCAGCAUGCACAGAAGGGAUCUCUUGGCCGUUUGUACUCAUUACAAUGCCCUUGAUUAUUUGGCUUUACAGCACCGACACUAACAUUACUGAAAUGUUUUGGUCUUGACUGACGGUUUUACGGAAUGGAAAUGUUUAAAUUAACCUGUUCAUUUUUUUUUUUUAUUGUUUAAAAGCAAUUUGUCGAUUUCUGCUGAAUUUCACAUGAACAUAGUGCUGGUGACGGCAAGUCUGUUUUCCAUAGUAGAUCAUCCUUUGCUUCCCCGUGCCUCCUGACCCUAGACCGGAUGAGAGGCUUUUCAUUUUUUAUAUACACGUAGUGUUCAUUGACAUGUACAGAGAGCUAACACUAUUUUAUGCAAAUAUUUUUUGUAGAUGGGGGAAAAAAAGAGCAUGUACAGUGUUUUGUUUCAUACAGUUCAUCCUUAUAACAUGGAAGCAAAUAAAAAAAGGAAAUAAUCAAUGGACACUAUUUGCAGAAAAUUGGCAGAAGAUUUAGGGAAUGUGAUUACGUUGCUAAAACUCAAGCGCAUGAUCUGUCUUUCUGCAUGGUUUUUUGUUUUGUUUUGUUUUUUAUUUCAAAUCACUAUGCUGUCUGUUUAUUGGUCGGUCUUAGCCAUAAGCCAGUUUUUCUGCACUAAGCAGAGCACUGCUACCUCAGUCAGUAUUUUGUUUUCCCAUAUUCUCAUUUCACUGUUUGUGCUUCUCUGUUUACACCAUUCUCUGUAAGAGGUAUGCCUAUUCUUGCUUGUGCAGAAAAUUCCUUUCAGGUUCAGAUCUUCUUUCCAACCCAUAGCUUUUAAGGUUAUUUAUUUAAAUGUCUCAUGUAUUUUAUUGUAAUAGACGUGUUUUGUUUUGGGGGUUUUUUUUGUUUGUUUUUUUUUAAGGUUUUUUUUUUUUUUUUUUCCUUAAUUUUUUGCCAGUGUUGACCAUAUUAGGGUCUCUGUGUCACAACUAGUUAAAAAUAAAACCUUUAAACAGACGGAGGAAAAAACAACUUGCCGUUUGUCUUACAACCGCUUUAUCACCUAAGUUCCUUAUUUUCUUUUAAGGGUUUUUCUACCUUAGAGCAUUUUGUAAUCAUAAUAUGUGUAUGAAUGGCAACUUGCACUGCAGAGUUAAAGGCUGAAUUGUUUCACGUGUUUUAGUGCAUACAUAACCAUUCAUCUGCUAUUCUUAUUAUAUAGCAAGUAAGUGAUCUGACCUCUGUUAACAACAAAGGUUAGAGACAGAACUUGACUUAUAAACUGUGUGCUUUUUUUAUGUACAAUCUGUAAAUAGCACAUGACCAAAUGGACAUAUUGUAUAGAACUAUUUUUUAUUUUUAAGUGACACUAAUAUUCAUCAUUCCACUGUAAUCGUUAGAGCAUGUUUUCAAGUUGAUUUUCUUCAGCCUCCACUGUUUGUCAUUAACCGUCCUAACUGUGGUGUUUUCUCUCCAAUGCCUUCCAAAUUCCACCAACUAAAGUGAGUAUCCAUUGUCUGUCUUAUAACACUCCGUCUCAGCCAGUUCAUGUAGUGAUGCAAGAAAUUACAAUCUGUAUUGUUGCUAAAAAUAAACAGUUAUGGUUCCUUUGUCUUCACUGCCUUUGUCAUAACACUACAUUCCAUUUGAUACCCUUAGCUAAGUCAUUCUGUAUAGGUGAUUGUCUUCAUAUACAACAAAAGAUAGCUGUCAUAUGGACAUGUUGGACGAGCUAAUUCGGGACCUUCAUAAGAAUAUUCACUAAUAACCCAUAUUCAAAAAAGCUGCAACAUAUUAUAUCUGACAUUCCAAAGUAACAAACCAGAAAAACUGGAGUAAUCCCCUUCUUAAACCAAUUAUGCAGAAAUGUAAGGUUGCUUUGUUGCGUGCAUGUGUGUAUUUAGAGACAGUUACCCAAACAGUUACAAAGAGAAAACUCUCUGCAUGUGUAAUAAGCUUCACAGAGUGUGCUAUAUGGAGGGAGAAUAAAGUGAAAGAUCAGUUCAAUGAGUUUCCACAGAGACCCCUGGAUUGUUUGCUGCGCAGAGAAGAUGCCAUGUUUAAUCUUAACACGUUAAACCUUUUUGCUGCUUUUGGGGUGAGGCCCUGCAUCCCGUCUGGUUCCAAGUCCACCCUAGCAUCAAAUGGCUACAGGAAAACCUAAGCAGCACAGCCAAGUUUCCAUGUUUUCCGCCAUGUAAAAUGUCCUUUGUUCAUGUACAAUAUCAUUGUAGUGCAUGCUUUCAGUUGUAAGUAGCCAAAUGUCUGUAUUUUCUCAUCUCCUUUCUAAACAGCUAUGUACAAUAUGCACUUCUAUUUAUACAUUCAUUGAAGAAAAAAGAAAAAAAAAAGAAACUACAGGUGUUAAAUGUUUAAAAUGUAAACUCCAGUUCAACCAUUUCAUAGUUCAUUUUUUAAUUUUAUUUUUUUGUGCAAAGGUAACUUUUGCACUGUAAUAAUGUAACUUAUUAAAUGAAUUUUAAAGAGGUUAAUAGAAUUUGGUGCAAUACAGAUAUUGUGAUGCAUUUAUUUCAAUCCAAGUCAGUAACUGCAAACGCAUGUUUGUGCUAUAGACAAUUGUAAAUAGAAAUCAGUUGUUUAUUUGAACACUGACGCAAGCAUCAUACAGACGUCAUGGUUUCAGGUGAAUAAAAGUUUGUUCUACUCUG